rnacentral:rRNA from 1 species
CGGGGUGGAGUAAUGUCUGGGAAACUGCCUGAUGAGGGGGAGUAACUACUGGAAACGGCAGCUAAUACCGCAUAACGUCGCAAGACCAAAGAGGGGGACCGUUCGGGCCUCUUGCCAUCGGAUGUGCCCAGAUGGGAUUAGCUAGUAGGUGGGGUAACGGCUCACCUAGGCGACGAUCCCUAGCUGGUCUGAGAGGAUGACCAGCCACACUGGAACUGAGACACGGUCCAG